GCAUUCACCCUGUUUUUGGUCACACAUGGUAAAGAGACUCAGGAAAAAGAACUUCCAGAACCGCUUCAGAAAGUGUCAAGAAUGAUGGGCUAAGCGUGUUUGAGACAAGGGGAAUAUUUGAGGGAUAUUAAUGCAUAAAAACUAUCCUUUGCAAAGAAUAAUUUUGACAUCUUUAUCAAAGAUGGCCCGGCUGGAGUUUGAGAUCUCUGAACGAAGACUUAGUUCUGGUGCUUGCGCAGGAAGAAGUCCCAAGGGCUCAUCUUAUCUGGCUCCGUACAGACAGGGUACUUAAUAAUUGGGAGAGGAGACAUUCAGUGCUUGGUGAUCGCUCAGAUUGUCAAUCAAGUGCUAUUUGGACUCAACAGAUGUACGUAUUGAAAUCAAAUACUCUGCACAUUUAAUGGCAUCAGUAGAAAGUUAUGUUGCAUGACAUCAAAUAGAGGUGUUUCUUGCACAAUGUCCAGUGAGGUCAAUAAGAUGAAAAGCGGCUAAGAGCUCCCGAGAUUAGUCUUUUUGUUCUGUGAGGUUUUUGGUGUGGCAGUCAUUAUUUUAACAUCAGGAUCAAACCUGGUAAUUGACCUCAAUAUGUUCUCAAAGUAUGUUUCAUACUGAAACCCAGUAGCUCACCCUUCAGUAUAAUUUUCCUGCCUAUUAACAAUCUUAAAGAAACAUGUUUCCUACACGCAGUUCUUGAUAAUAUUUAUAAACCGACAUUUAUUGAAGACUCUGUGAGGGUCAGGCCCUG